GAUGAACGCUGGCGGCGUGCCUAAUACAUGCAAGUCGAGCGAACAGACGAGGAGCUUGCUCCUCUGACGUUAGCGGCGGACGGGUGAGUAACACGUGGAUAACCUACCUAUAAGACUGGGAUAACUUCGGGAAACCGGAGCUAAUACCGGAUAAUAUAUUGAACCGCAUGGUUCAAUAGUGAAAGACGGUUUUGCUGUCACUUAUAGAUGGAUCCGCGCCGCAUUAGCUAGUUGGUAAGGUAACGGCUUACCAAGGCAACGAUGCGUAGCCGACCUGAGAGGGUGAUCGGCCACACUGGAACUGAGACACGGUCCAGACUCUUACGGGAGGCAGCAGUAGGGAAGCUUCCGCAAUGGGCGAAAGCCUGACGGAGCAACGCCGCGUGAGUGAUGAAGGUCUUCGGAUCGUAAAACUCUGUUAUUAGGGAAGAACAAAUGUGUAAGUAACUAUGCACGUCUUGACGGUACCUAAUCAGAAAGCCACGGCUAACUACGU
rnacentral:rRNA from 1 species